rnacentral:rRNA from 1 species
GACGCCCCCGGGGGUUCGGGAUUGCAACAGCAGCCGCGGUAAUACCGAGGGUGCAAGCGUUAAUCGGAAUUACUGGGCGUAAAGCGCACGCAGGCGGUUGAUUAAGUUAGAUGUGAAAUCCCCGGGCUUAACCUGGGAAUGGCAUCUAAGACUGGUCAGCUAGAGUCUUGUAGAGGGGGGUAGAAUUCCAUGUGUAGCGGUGAAAUGCGUAGAGAUGUGGAGGAAUACCGGUGGCGAAGGCGGCCCCCUGGACAAAGACUGACGCUCAGGUGCGAAAGCCUGGGGAGCAAACAGGAUUAGAUACCCUGGUAGUCCACGCUGUAAACGAUGUCCAUUGGAAGGUUGUUCCCUUGAGGAGUGGCUUUCGCAGCUAACGCGUUAAAUCGACCGCCUGGGGAGUACGGCCGCAAGGGUAAAACUCAAAUGAAUUGACGGGGGCCGCACAAGCGGUGGAGCAUGUGGUUUAAUUCGAUGCAACGCGAAGAACCUUACCUACUCUUGACAUCCAGAGAACUUAGCAGAGAUGCUUUGGUGCCUUCGGGAACUCUGAGACAGGUGCUGCAUGGCUGUCGUCAGCUCGUGUUGUGAAAUGUUGGGUUAAGUCCCGCAACGAGCGCAACCCUUAUCCUUUGUUGCCAGCGAUUCGGUCGGGAACUCAAAGGAGACUGCCGGUGAUAAACCGGAGGAAGGUGGGGAUGACGUCAAGUCAUCAUGGCCCUUACGAGUAGGGCUACACACGUGCUACAAUGGCGUAUACAAAGAGAAGCGACCUCGCGAGAGCAAGCGGAACUCAUAAAGUACGUCGUAGUCCGGAUUGGAGUCUGCAACUCGACUCCAUGAAGUCGGAAUCGCUAGUAAUCGUAGAUCAGAAUGCUACGGUGAAUACGUUCCCGGGCCUUGUACACACCGCCCGUCACACCAUGGGAGUGGGUUGCAAAAGAAGUAGGUAGCUUAACCUUCGGGAGGGCGCUUACCAC